AUUUAAAUAGCUUAAAGAAAGAGUUUGAUAUUGAAGAUAUCAAGGUGAUUAUAAAUCUUUAAAUA
rnacentral:tRNA from 1 species